UACGUAGGGUGCAAGCGUUAAUCGGAAUUACUGGGCGUAAAGCGUGCGCAGGCGGUUUGUAAGUUUGUCGUGAAAGCCCCGGGCUCAACCUGGGAAUUGCGAUGAAGACUGCAAGGCUUGAAUCUGGCAGAGGGGGUAGAAUUCCACGUGUAGCAGUGAAAUGCGUAGAGAUGUGGAGGAACACCGAUGGCGAAGGCAGCCCCUGGGUCAAGAUUGACGCUCGAUGCACGAAAGCGUGGGGAGCAAACAGG
rnacentral:rRNA from 1 species